GUUACUGGUUAUGUUAAUGUAGUUAUCUACCACAUGGGUGGUAUUGUGAGUAUGUUAUGUGAAGUAAAUAGAAUUGAAAUUUUCAGUUAUGUUUAAAAUUACAGAACCACAAUUCACUUAAAAAUCACGCACACAGACUAUUUACUGUCCUAAAACAAAACAAAACAAAACAAAUUUAACACUUAAAAUCUCAAUAGUGGGCAGGACAAAUGUAAGUUUGAACAUUAUUAUGAAAUUGCUGUAAUUUUUCCUGUCACUGAAAUUUUGUGAGCAUAUUCUAAAAAGGGAGUUAGGAGCAUAUCUAAGUAUCCAAAUAGACUAGCAGACAUAGGGUUCCUGUAGCAGCUGGCACACAUUGCUUUCCAGGGAAGUGUGUGUGUGUGUAUGAUAAGUGAGAUUACUAUUUUAUAUUUUAUUAUCAAAUACAAAUAAUAGUAACCCCUCUUUAACUGUCAUUGUUAGUUAUUUACAAUGCCCCAGGGUAGGAGAAUUUGUGGUAUAAAGCCUAAAGAUCUUAGGUUAUAUUUGAAUUUAUUAAUGUCUUCGUUUGUGUGUGUGUGUGUAUGUGUCGACUUUUAGGUGAUAUAAUGGUUGCUGUAUGAUUCCCUUUUCCAUUUCUUGCUUACUGAAAACUUCAGGAACCCCACAGUGUGAACAAUUUUCUUAUACUUUGAUUUGCCUUUACAGAGACAAUGUAUACUAAGGCUUAAAAAAACCUGAUGCUUUAUGUAAAUGUCUAGUUAGCUAUUGAUGAUCCUAGAGUAACAGAAUAAAUUGGUUGUUUAGAGUGAAAAUAAAUCUUCAGUAAUUUUAUUAUUCAAAUACUAUCAAUAUGUUUUCCCAGGAUAAGGCCUUAAUUAUGCCUCCAAACAAUUUCAUGCCAUAGCUCUUGGCUUUAACCUUUAUAUAUUUAUACCCCUUACUCAUAAUAAUCACAAGAGUGUAGUCCCAUAUUUAUAUCCUUUUGCUUCUCUUUCUUAAGACUUCAUUGCAAAAAUCUACUUUGCCUUGUAUUUUACCUUUCCCUAGUUCCAAUUGCUUGCUCUGUCUUUGUCUAAUUACCCCCAAUAAGAAUUAGUUAGAAUAUUGGAAUUAAAAUUCUGAAGGAUAUUAAAAAAGAAUACAGAAGUAAAUUCAACUCAGAUGGAGAGGGAUUACUGUAGGUGGACUAGUUAAUAUAAGACAGUAGAGUAAGUGCAGCAUAGGGUAUAUUUUCUUUAUUAAUAUCAUGGCCUUGACCUUAUGGUUUAUCUAAAUUCAUCAGUUUCCAAAGACUUGCAGCAUGUUGUUGAAUCCCUUUAGUUUCCUUUUUUCAUGGUUCUCAGAACAACCAGUCUCCACUUUCUGGACCAGUCUGUAGCAACUGUCAAGGAACAAGCUGUUUUCCUGGAGCCAAACCUCACUAAUGGAGCUCCUGAAUGGAAGUUUAUACUUAAAAGUCACGGCAGCCUUAGUGUUUCUCAUCAGGCCCUUCAGAUUGUUACUAAAUGAAUGACUUACUCCCUCCACUUCCCUUAACCCCCAACCAAGUUAGGGAUAUAUGAUUAUAAUUUAAAUAUGCAUAAAUAAAUUAGAUUUCUUUGCAUCUUCUAUGUAUGUUGACUGGUUUGUAGGGGGCCUAAAAAGUACAUGAUAUAAUUACACUACAUGUAACUUGUUUCAUGACUUAAUUUGGCUCACUUUUGAAAUAUGUUUAAGCUUCACUUUAUCUUUUUGCAUUCCUAGUCUUGUGUUUAUGCUCCACAAAUUGGUUAAAACAUUUCCUUUCCUUUUGGUUAUAAAAGUGAUAUAAACACAUUAAGGAAAAUGUCAAUAAAAAAGAAAAAUCUAAUUCUGCCACUGUAAGAAGAUAUUCAUUGACAUGUUAAAUCCCAGAGAAUGAAAUGCUUUAAGUAAUUGUAGUAAGGCAUGGAAUACAAUAUCUAAUGGCAUAUUGUGUUAUUUAAAAUGAAAAUAAAAAGAUAUGCAUAUAAUUGAAGAAAGAUUAAAAUGUACAUGUAUGUGUGGAGUUUACAAAAUGGGCUUAUGAAAAAAAUAUUGGAAGAUAACAAAUAAUAGUUGUGUUGGAUUGAUGAAAUAAUGGGAGAUGAAUUCCUCAUAAUUCUAAAUUUUCUGGAAUUUCAAGAAUUUAUUUAAAAAUAAAAAUCCAAUUGUGAAGAGUUUGAUAAUUCCUCAUUUUAUUUUUUUCUCUCUACUUGUUGGCCUCACCUAUUUCCUUCUAAUUUUUUAGUCAACUUUUUGGUGUGAGCAUGAUAUUUUUUUUCCCCAAUUCUUAACCAAAACCUAAAGAUUCCUCAGUUGCCGUAUUGUUGACUAUUGCCUUCUUUUUUACAGAGGAAGGCAACAUGGCACCCUCAUUUUCAGAAGUUGGACUUGUUCUAGGUUGGAAUUUGAACACACUUGAAAAAUCAUUUUGAAAUAUAGUUACUAUUAAGUAUUAAGGGAAAGAAUAUUGGUGGAAAGCAAAAUGUAUCAGGAACUGAUUUUUAAUAAUGGAGAUGGGAUGGAUUGCAGAUAGGGAAGGAUAGGGUAAAGAAUAA